GUUACCAAUGGCGGUAUAAGAAGUAAUUAAGUAUGAAAAGCUAGCGUUUGUGAAAGUAUAUUUUUGGCUGUCAUUCAAGAAUUUCUUGUAUGUUUGAAUCAUGAAGGAGUAGGUAUUCCACAUAUAUGUGGUAAAACACCUGGAGACACUUGUUGACAAUUGCAGUAUGCCACAGGUUUUAGAAAGUAUCCAACUUGGACUUGCAGCAUGUUGCAUUGGACUUGGAAAAUGUUGCCAGUGGAUACAGUGCCAAAAACCACCUGCUGUUGUUAAAGAGCAAUAUGAAGUUCUUUGUUUAGGCCUAAAGGGUGCAGGAAAAUCAACGGCUUUAGCGUCAUUAGUUGGAGAACCCACUGAUGAUAUUGAACCAACAACAGGUUUUAAUAUCAAGACUCUUCCUCUGUUGGACACUACACUGAAUAUUAAAGAACUCGGUGGAGGACAGGAUGUGAGGGUGUUUUGGAACAAGUACUUCCAUGGGCAGCAUGGAAUUCUGUUUGUUGUUGAUGCAUCAUCAAAUGAACAGGAUCUACGCUUUUCCAAAGAAGCUUUAGAAACUGUGCUUUCCGAUGUAGCUCUCAAAGGUGUACCUUGUGUUGUACUCGUUACUCACCUAGAUAUACCUGAGCAUAAAACAACAGAACAGUUGGAACAGUUAUUUCGUGGAACAUUGCACGGUAGAAAAUGGAUGUUUCAUCCUUUUCAUCUUGGUAGUGAUGAAGGGAUUCGUCAAGGUCUAGAAACACUUGUGGAUUUGAUGAUCCGUAGUGGAUGAGGACUGUAAUUAUGUAAAAUUUUUUCUCAUUCUAGAAGUUCCUCAAUCUGUAAAAAGUGGUUUAGGUAUUUCUGAAACCCUCAGUAGGUAAACAAAGUUUUUAUCUCGUGUUCCUGGAUUUGACUGUGAUGGUAAAGAAUGAAUGUAUCACAAGUGCUUGUACCUGUAUUAACUUGGUGUGUGUUUGUGCAAGUAUUAUGUAAUGGUGUGACAUCCUAAUACCAAACUAUAUUUCAAUUAUCUCUGUAUAUUCCUUGUACACAAUCAUGGUUAAAGUGACCUAUACAUGCGAUGCAUCCUUGUCAACUGUAGUUGUAGAUAACAUUAUCCCAGUAUCAUGCCAACAUGUAAAAUGUUUCCUUGUCAACUAUAGUUGUAGUUAACACUA